AUGAUGUUUCAACUUCUCUUCAAUACACUUCUUCUUGUUGAAAUGCUACGAUGUUGUGAAUUGCACCGACGAAGACGACUUCCUUUGAACUCAGUGGACUCGAAAGGUUCCACCAUAAACAUUUCCUAUUUUCCAUCCUUGAUCAUGAAUCCAGCGUCUUCUUCCAUCAAUUUCCCUUCAAACAUUCUGAAUCCAAAAUUUAUAUGUAAACCCUAG